UGUGAACCAUACCAAACUGUUGCCUCGGCGGGGUCACGCCCCGGGUGCGUCGCAGCCCCGGAACCAGGCGCCCGCCGGAGGGACCAACCAAACUCUUUCUGUAGUCCCCUCGCGGACGUUAUUUCUUACAGCUCUGAGCAAAAAUUCAAAAUGAAUCAAAACUUUCAACAACGGAUCUCUUGGUUCUGGCAUCGAUGAAGAACGCAGCGAAAUGCGAUAAGUAAUGUGAAUUGCAGAAUUCAGUGAAUCAUCGAAUCUUUGAACGCACAUUGCGCCCGCCAGUAUUCUGGCGGGCAUGCCUGUCCGAGCGUCAUUUCAACCCUCGAACCCCUCCGGGGGGUCGGCGUUGGGGAUCGGGAACCCCUAAGACGGGAUCCCGGCCCCGAAAUACAGUGGCGGUCUCGCCGCAGCCUCUCAUGCGCAGUAGUUUGCACAACUCGCACCGGGAGCGCGGCGCGUCCACGUCCGUAAAACACCCAACUUCUGAAAUGUUGACCUCGGAUCAGGUAGGAAUACCCGCUGAACUUAAGCAUAUCAAU
rnacentral:rRNA from 1 species